AGCCACAGGGCAAGCUGACCUCUCUUUACCCCUUCCCGGACCCCUGCUGUCUGCCCAUCUUCCCUCUGUGUGGCUGUCCCAGGGCUUCUCAAGCUCAGCACCAUUGACAUGGAGGGCAGGAUGACCCGUGGAUGGGGGGGGGGGGGGAGGCUGUCCUGUGCCCUGUGCGGUGCUCAGUAGCCUCUUUGACCUCUACCCACCUGCCUGUAGUGCACUCCCCCACCCCCCCCAUUGUGGAGACCUAGUGUCUCUAGACAUCACCGGGAGUUCUCUGCGACAGGACUGCUCUGAACUGAGCAGCUUACCUGCCCUCCAGGUGUGGUCUUGAGAAGAGCUAACUCCUAGGUGUCUAAUUCUCCCAUCAGCCCCUCUGCAAGGCCCCUGCCCCAGCACGGCUUCAACCUCCCUAACUGGAAAGCCAAAGAGACUGGGAGAGCGACUGAGCUCAGAGAGAGGGUCUGAAGGACUGCUGAAGCCCUCACAGAACUUCUGCUACCCUCACAGAGCUUCUGCUUUUGCUCCAUGCAGAAGACCCUGCAGGCAGCUCUGCAGGCUCAGCCAAGGUCCCAGGAGAUGUAAGCGGCAGUGAUGCCAAGUUGCUUCUACUUCAGAAAAGACAAAGCAGCAGCGAAGACACCCAGCCCCCUGCUCACUUUCUCAGGCUUGAGAGAGCUCAUCAGACAUUCUCUGGUGGGCCCACUUCCACCCCUCCUGAGUUGGGAGCCCUGUGCAGGCACUGGAGCAACCUAGCCCCAUGUCUCCAGGAGCUGAGCCUUAGUAAACAAAAGGCCUGGCUGGGGGUUUCUCAUGGUGCCUGGCAACUCCAAGGCCUUAGCAACCUCAGUCGCCACUCCUAGGCAGGAAGGAGGAAACGUCCCUCAGCAAGGCGACCACAAAGCAAAUAGCAAUGCGCUGAGGCUCUGAACUAAAUAAAGGAAGCGUUCAGGCUAGAAAAGGAGAGAUUCUGGUGAGACUUCAAGAAAGACUUCCUGGCCUACCUGGAGGGAGACUAACACAGGCACUGUGAGCCAGGUGCACUAGCAGAAAGCUGGACCUGAAGCAGAGUAGCCGGGACUCCAACUACGCACUCCCAUGUGUUGCUGUGGAUUCGUUCUGAGAGGAGGAGUGCAGUGGGGGCAAGAGGCACGGAAUCACCACCACACAGACCCUGGGAGUCGGUGAAAGCAGGCCAGAGAGAUCAACAACAGAACAAGCCACUGUAACUUUGACCAGAAUGUUGGGUUUGGUUCUGCAAAGCAGAGAUGGAGUAAAUGGGCCUUGGUUGGUCUAAGCAAUAGCGAAGCUCUUUGCUAUGGCCUGGGAAAGCAGUGGAAGACAGCCCAAGUCCUUGGGCCCCUGCACCUGUGUGGGAAACCUGGAAGCUCCUGGCUUCUGGCUUCAGAGCUCUGACCUUUGUAGCCAACUGGGAAGUGAACCAGCGUAUGGAAGACUUCUCUCUCUCUCUUCCUCUCCUUCUCUCUCUGUGUAACUCUGACUUUCAAAUAAAUAAAUAAAUCUUUAAAAAAAAGUAAUCAGAAGUAAAUCCACAAAUUUUAGAAAUCCAUACAAGACAUGAAUGAACAUUUUUCCCAUGAAACUGAGAUUUCAAAGAAAAAUCAAAAUGAAAUAUUGCAAAUGAAGAAUUCAAUAGAUCAAAUAAAAAAUGUGGUGGAAAGGCUUAACAACAGAAUUGGUGAGGCAGAAGGAAGAAUAUCCGAGUUAAAAGACAUAUCUCUGGAAAUUUUACCAGUGGGUAUAUCAUACAAAAAAAAAAAAAAAAAGAAAGAAAGAAAGAAAAAAGAAAUUAGAAAACUAAAAAGCAGUGUUGGGGAUUUAUGGGAUACUAUCAAAUGACUCAACAUAUCUUAGGAGUUCCUGAAGGCAUGGAAAAAGAGAAUGGAUUAGAAGGCCUUUUUAGUGAAAUAAUUACAGAAAACUUCCCUAAUUUGGAGAAAAAAAGGGAUGUCCAGGAAGCACAUAGAACUCAUAAUAGACAUCACCAGAAAAUAUCUUCCCCAUAACACAUUAUAGUCAAACUCUCCACAAUAAAGCAUAAAGAUUCUAAAAUGUGCAUGAGAGAAAUUCCAGAUUACUUUCAAAGGAUCUCCAAUAAGAUUCACAGCUGACUUCUCAUCAGAAACCCUAUAAGCUAGGAGAAAAUGGUGAGAUAUAAUCCAAGUCUUAAGAGAAAAAAACUGUCAACUCAGACUACUGUACCCUGCAAAGCGCUCAUUUAUGAAUGAAGGUGAAAUAAAGACCUUCCAUAACAAACAGAAUUUGAAAGAAUUUGUCAUCACUCAUACAGCCUUACAAAAGAUGCUUAAGGAUGUGCUACACACAGAAACAUGGUCAUCACUAUGAAAGAAGAGGAAGGCAGAAAAUCUCCCAGUAAAAGUACAAAUGAAAUCCAAAGUAAACAAUAGGAACAUUUAUGGAAAAAUGGCAGGGAAAUUGAACUUAUUCUGGGUUUUCUUCUGUAGUUCCUUAGAUUUCAGAAUACCCUGACACUGGGAAUCUAGUCACAUAUUAACACAAUCUGGUUUUGAAUCUUUUAAAAAAGAAUGCAUUGAUUAUACUGGACCAUCUUUUUUUUUCCUUCUCUUAUUACAUACCAUUUGUAUGAUUACAGUGUUAAGUCUUAGUUCUUAUGUCUGAGCAGAAGAGUGUAUCAGUGGGGCCAGGGCUGUGGUGCAGUGAAAGCCCUGGCCUGAAGCGCCAUCAUCCUUUGUGGGCACCGGUUCUAGUCCUAGCUGCUCCU